CAGCUCUCAUUACUCUCCAGGCACUGGCACGUCACCCCAUUUCUUGUGAGUGAUCCACACCUUCCAUUCAAGCACCCAGAUAACUGCCCAGGUUUCCAAGAGACCUCCAUUUCCAACAGGACUUGCGGCACCAUGGAAGCAUAAUCAGAAAGCUCUCUAGAGAGCUUGGACUUGCAUCCAGCCCCGGUUUCCAUCCAGGAGCACGCAGCAGCUGCAAAAGAGCAGCCUCCUCUCCACUGCCACUGCACAGCUAAGAAGCUGAAUUUGUGUCCCUGCCUGUCCCCAAGGAAAAGAAGGCUGCGAGGUCUCUUAAGGAAUCUGCUCCUAUGUAUUUAGCCAACGUGUGGCACUUAUCUCUUCACUGAAGCAGACUUAAGCCAAACUGCCUUCAGCUUCCUGUUCUGUGUAUUACACUCGGCACAGAAAGGGAUGAAAAGGAACGAAUCUUGGAAGAGAAACAAAAGCCUGCAAUAAGCGGUAUUCUCGGUUACCCUGUAGCAUGCUGACUGGGAACAAGAAGAGUUGCCACGCUGACAUAUACAGCUGAAAAUUGGGUUUGCCACGUACAGCGAUGUUAAAGGAAGCUUUUCACUGCUUCCCUUGUGGGCUGCCACUGUGCUGUGCCCUUCGUGAGCACUCUGCCACUUAUCGGCACAGGUAUAAAAAUGUCCUUUGGACAAGAGACAGUGCAGGUAAGCUCUGGAGAAAUCAAAGCAGGAAAAGGAGAUAAAAGGCUAGCAAUAUUUCUGUCGCUAACUCACAGACAGGUUUAUUCUAACAAUUUCCACCUUGGCAAGCUCCAGGUCGCU